CUUGUAAGAGAAGAGCUGUUUCCCUCACCUCCUAUCAAAGUACCUAUCAUUCCUCCACUGGAACUUCAUUAAUGAUCUAGAUCUUGGAAGAUUUUCUGGGAUGAAAGAGAACCCAAAAGUGGAGCAUCUUUGGAGAGGUGAGCCGGCAGGAGGGAAAGGGGUUGGCCCGAAGGCGUGCUUCACCUGCUCCCCAGCGCUCCCGGGACUCAGUCCUGGUCACUUACAGGAGAGGAAAAUGCGGUGAAAGGCGGCCACAAGUGAGUUCACGGCCUUGGUACACAGUGAGUUCUCUCUCCCCUCCCAGCUGCACUAACCGUAUUUCCUGUCUGCUAUGUGAAGUGUGAGUCUGGCCCUUUAUGAAGACACAGUGCCCACUUUCAGCCGAGCAAAGCGGCCUUUCCUCCGGACCCAGAUGGCUGCGCCUCUUCUCGGUGCCCUGCUUCUCCAGCUGCAAAAGUGGGGCCCGGCUCCCACCUCCCCAGAUCCAGAGAGGCAAAUUCAUCCAGAGCGGGAAGUCAGGAAGUGGGUGACUUACUCCAUGCUCACCAGACAAGAACUUUCAACCAAUAAAGAAGUAAAGCACACAGAAAAAGGAUCAGAUUCAGAAUUGGCCCUCGCACUACCUAUUAGGGGAGAGAAAAUACCCACCUCAGGACACUCUUGCCACAAGGGGCCUCCGCCUGCACUUUUCUCUUCAAGCAAAGAACAGCUGUUCUAAUCACAGAUGAGAAAAUUUAUCGGUA